GGCAGUGGUGUUUAUAACUAAUUGAUCACAACCAGUUCCAGGUUCCUUUGUUCCUUCUCCAUUUCCACUGCUUCAC
rnacentral:sRNA from 1 species